UACGUAGGCAGCAAGCGUUGUUCGGAAUUACUGGGCGUAAAGAGUGUGUAGGCGGUGCUCUAAGUUCGGUGUGAAAUCUCCCGCUUAACUGGGAGGGUGCGCCGGAAACUGGAGUGCUCGAGCGUGGGAGAGGAAAGCGGAAUUCCUGGUGUAGCGGUGAAAUGCGUAGAUAUCAGGAGGAACACCGGUGGUGUAGACGGCUUUCUGGACCGUAACUGACGCUGAGACACGAAAGCGUGGGUAGCAAACAGG
rnacentral:rRNA from 1 species